rnacentral:rRNA from 1 species
CCUACGGGAGGCAGCAGUGGGGAAUUUUGGACAAUGGGGGCAAGCCUGAUCCAGCCAUGCCGCGUGCAGGAUGAAGGCCUUCGGGUUGUAAACUGCUUUUGUACGGAACGAAAAGGUCUUUCUAAUAAGGAAGGCUCAUGACGGUACCGUAAGA